GAAUGCUGAACGGGUUGUCAUGUGUCCCACUGUUAUAACCAGACUUCUCCCAAACAUCCCGCAGAGAACGUCCUAACAAAGAACCCAUACGCCGCAUGGACUUUUUCAUACCACGCUUUCUUUAUUUUCCGGCAAAGUAAACUCAGUUUUAAGUUUGCGAUCACGUUCCUCAGAACUUUAUUACAAACUCAACGCAUCAAGAAGGACAUCAAAGGAGUUUCAUCAGGACGGAAGCAUAAAAAGAGAGACCCCAGACAUUAAAGUCCAGGACCUCCGGGUAGAUGUUCCAUUGCAGCAGAAUGGCCUAAGCUUUCCAGGUCCACCUCUCUCCUUGAAGUUACGGACAAGAAUUUUGUUACCAGGAACCAAUUCAGCCCCUUUUACUUUCUUGUCAUAUAAAGCUUUUCCUUGUUCUUUUUCAUUGAGUGACACUCUUGAAGCCAGCUUGUAAGCUUCGUUCAUUCUCUUCCUCCAGCCCUCAGCAUAGUCAUGUUGGGUAAAACUCUUUUUUUUGCAUCUUUCACACC